CCUACGGGUGGCAGCAGUGAGGAAUAUUGGUCAAUGGACGAGAGUCUGAACCAGCCAAGUAGCGUGAAGGAUGACUGCCCUAUGGGUUGUAAACUUCUUUUAUAUGGGAAUAAAAUGUUCCACGUGUGGGAUUUUGUAUGUAGCCUACGAAUUAGGAUCGGCUAACUCCGGGCCAGCAGCCGCGGUAAGACGGAGGAUCCAAGCGUUGUCCGGAUUUAUUGGGUUUAAAGGGAGCGUAGGUGGUUUGUUAAGUCAGUUGUGAAAGUUUGCGGCUCAACCGGCAAAUUGCAGUUGAAACUGGCAGUCUUGAGUACAGGAGAGGUGGGCGGAAUUCGUGGUGUAGCGGUGAAAUGCUUAGAUAUCGCGAAGAACACCGAUUGCGAAGGCAGCUCACUGGACUGCAACUGACGCUGAGGCUCGAAAGUGGGGGUAUCAAACAGGAUUAGAUACCCGAGUAGUC
rnacentral:rRNA from 1 species